UUACUUACCUGGCAGAAGAGACACUGCGACCAGGAAGGUGGUUCUCCCGGGGCGAGGCUCAGCCAUUGCACUUGGUGUUCUUACAACCCAGAACCACCUGCCUACGGAUGGUGCCGCCUAGACUGCAGUGC
rnacentral:snRNA from 1 species